rnacentral:rRNA from 1 species
GAUGAACGCUGGCGGUGUGCUUAACACAUGCAAGUCGAACGGAAAGGCCCAAGCUUGCUUGGGUACUCGAGUGGCGAACGGGUGAGUAACACGUGGGUGAUCUGCCCUGCACUUCGGGAUAAGCCUGGGAAACUGGGUCUAAUACCGGAUAGGACGAUGGUUUGGAUGCCAUUGUGGAAAGUUUUUUCGGUGUGGGAUGAGCUCGCGGCCUAUCAGCUUGUUGGUGGGGUAAUGGCCUACCAAGGCGUCGACGGGUAGCCGGCCUGAGAGGGUGUACGGCCACAUUGGGACUGAGAUACGGCCCAGACUCCUACGGGAGGCAGCAGUGGGGAAUAUUGCACAAUGGGCGCAAGCCUGAUGCAGCGACGCCGCGUGGGGGAUGACGGCCUUCGGGUUGUAAACUCCUUUCGCUAGGGACGAAGCGUUUUUGUGACGGUACCUGGAGAAGAAGCACCGGCUAACUACGUG